GCGCCGGUGGCGGAAUUGGUAGACGCGCUAGCUUGAGGGGCUAGUGAGCGAUUAGCUCGUGGAGGUUCGAGUCCUCUCCGGCGCA
rnacentral:tRNA from 2 species